ACAGACGCUCAUGACACAGCCUCAGAAGGUCCUGAUGACUUGUGGCUAAGAUGAUCAGGGCACAGCUUGGUUUUAUACAUUUUAGGAAGACAUGAGACAUCAAUCAAUAUAUGUAAGAUAUACAUUGGUAUCAACCAGAAAGACAGAGUCUUGCUCUGUUGCCAGAUUGGAGUGAAGUGGCGCGAUCUCAGCUCACUGCACCCUCUGACUCCCUGAUUCAAGUGAUGCUCCUGCCUCAGACUCCCAAGUAUUUCCUAUAUCUUCCUGUCUUUUCCAUGGCCAAAAAUGAUCAAGUAAAGAACAUUAAAGAAGAAAUAAAUUACUACAUAUUAAAAAAUACAUACUGUAAGAUGUUCUUUGUACAAAAAUGUGACAACUUCAAUAAGAGUAACUUGGACAACCUGAGGCAUUAAUUGAGGAUCAAUAUGAUGACUUUACAUUGAGAAUCACAUAUACCCUCUGAAUAAAUUUAAAAAAUGAAAUUUUUUAAUUUUCAUUAAAAAUUAAAUUUUUUUGAGUGAUGAAAAUACUCAAUCACAUUAUUUUCAAAUUGUUGAUAAGCAUGGAAAUUAUCAGAGAACCAGAAUAUUCAAGGUUUAUCUUUCCUGUUUUUGUCUUAAAUCACAACUAUGUGUUAAAUAAUUUGUAUGACCUAUUUCAGUGGCAGUAGGUUAAAUAAAAUUCUGUUUGUAUCUCCUGUUUUUUGUUUUAAAUUUAUUAUUAUUAUGCUUUAAGUUUUAGGGUACAUGUGCACAAUGUGCAGCUUAGUUACAUAUGUAUACAUGUACCAUGCUGGUGCGCUGCACCCACUAACUUGUCACACACGUAAUGUAUCUCCUGUUUUUGUGCUUCUCAAAUUGAAGUCACUGAAUCCUCAAGAAUUCAU
rnacentral:lncRNA from 1 species